rnacentral:tRNA from 1 species
AGGGUCAUAGUCUUAUAAAGAUGUUUAGUUUAGAACUAAAAGAUGAUUUUUCUGAUUCUA